UCCGGCAUUUGAAAGCAACUCUACUCAAAAUCUCAAAAGCUGCUGAGUUAAAAUCCCAUUCCAAGGAUUCUUAGAGUCGAGAAGUGUAGUACCCAACCCAGUUUUGCUAGACCAAAAAAAAAAAACAUGUGCUAGCGAAGAACCUAAUCUGACCACAAUUAGACCUCCCAAAGGAGUUCUUUCCUUCUUCAACCAAGACUCCCUUUUCGAAUGAAAGAGAGAGUCUUUUUCUUGAUUCCAAGCUCCCAUUUGGCCACUAAAAGAGGGCUUCACCUCUCCUUUGAAGCCGACCAACCAAGCUUCUUCCACAUACUACCUCUUAUCCUUCCUUCUCUAGAAAUCUGGAGUCAACAUGUUCGCCAAAAUCAACAUCAAAGCAAUGUUGGAUGAAGGUAAUGGUCCAAUAAAAGAUUUCUUUCAAUGAUUAUCAAUUUGACCUUAUCAAAGAGGAGCCUGAUCCAUGGUCGUCGGACAGUAUGCCAGCACCCACCUUGAUUAGAUCCGGAUAUCAUUAGAUUCGAUUAUCUAUGAUUUUUAUUGAACCAUUUAUACAAUAGUUUGAUCAUGAUUUGAUUAAAUUACCUUGAUAAUGUUGGAUGUAUGAUCUGAAAAUUUAAUUGUUAGCUGACACAUUGUAUUAAUUCUAGGACAUUUUUG
rnacentral:lncRNA from 1 species